rnacentral:rRNA from 1 species
UGUGUAGGCGGUUGUUUAAGUUUGGUGUGAAAUCUCCCGGCUCAACUGGGAGGGUGCGCCGAAUACUGAAUGACUAGAGUGCGGGAGAGGAGAGUGGAAUUCCUGGUGUAGCGGUGAAAUGCGUAGAUAUCAGGAGGAACACCGGCGGUGUAGGCGGCUCUCUGGACCGUAACUGACGCUGAGACACGAAAGCGUGGGGAGCAAACAGGAUUAGAUACCCUGGUAGUCCACGCCCUAAACGAUGCACAUUUGGUGUGGGUCAUUCAGUUGAUCCGUGCCGGAGCUAACGCGUUAAAUGUGCCGCCUGGGGAGUACAGUCGCAAGGCUGAA